UAUGUUUAAAUAUAAGAUGUAUAUUAAUUUUUGAUAUUAAAAGAGAUAGUUUAAUUCUAUCAAACAUAU
rnacentral:tRNA from 1 species